rnacentral:rRNA from 1 species
AACGAACGCUGGCGGCAUGCCUAACACAUGCAAGUCGAACGAGACCUUCGGGUCUAGUGGCGCACGGGUGCGUAACGCGUGGGAACCUGCCUUUAGGUUCGGAAUAACUCAGAGAAAUUUGAGCUAAUACCGGAUGAUGUCUUCGGACCAAAGAUUUAUCGCCUUUAGAUGGGCCCGCGUUGGAUUAGCUAGUUGGUGGGGUAAAGGCCUACCAAGGCGACGAUCCAUAGCUGGUCUGAGAGGAUGAUCAGCCACACUGGGACUGAGACACGGCCCAGACUCCUACGGGAAGCAGCAGUGGGGAAUAUUGGACAAUGGGCGAAAGCUUGAUCCAGCAAUGCCGCGUGAGUGAUGAAGGCCUUAGGGUUGUAAAGCUCUUUUACCCGAGAUGAUAAUGACAGUAUCGGGAGAAUAAGCUCCGGCUAACUCCGUG